UGGCAGCAGCCGGCAACCGGGCCGGCCCGGCGCGGCGCGGCUGGCGCUGGGGUGGGCGGCGGCGAGGGCGGGCGCCCCCCGCACCCCGCCGCCGUGUCGCGUAACCUUCAGGAAGCAGCGGGGCCUGGCGACUGGGGCGAGCGCGCCUUGCGCGGCGCUGGGGGCCCGGGGCGGGCGGGAAACAGGGGUCCCUCGGGAGGAAGCGCCGGGAAGGAAGGCAAGGGGGAAGGGAGGGCGGCGAGCCCCGGGGCCCCGCGGCCACCCCUGCGCGCGGGGCCGAGGGUGGCGGCGGCAGCAGCGGCGCUGCCUUCCCGCUUCCCCCCAGAUAGCGAUCUGGCGUCGCCGGGCCGGGCCGGAGCGGCCGCGCGAGCCGCGCUGAUGGCGAGAUUUCGCGCUGCGGAGCGAGUGGAGAGCCGAUCUUUAUCCGGCCUGGGGACGUGUCCGAGCGCCUCGCGGGGACUGCUCAGUAUGGAGAGCGGAGCUUCGCGAUGGCCCCAGAGGGCGGGGAGCGGGCGAGCACAGCUCGGAGAUCAGGCGCGGCGGCGGAGGCGGCUGCGGGCAGCGUCUCCUCCCCCCGGUCCCCGCCCGCCCGCCAGCAGGGUCUCCACCCCACCCCGCCCAGCCCCCGCCCCGGCAGUGCCCGGGCUGAGCCGGGCCCGCCGCUCUGGUCCGGUACGCCCCUCCAGCCUCCCUCACCGCUUUGCUCACAGCUGUGAGCAGCAGCCCCAGCUGUGGAGCCUCACCUCACCUAAACCCGACAGAUUUAGUAACCAGCACAGUAAUUAGCAGCAUUAGCCAUCCAGAUGUGAACAGGCUCUGUGCACGAAACAGGUCUGUAAUGAUCUCACGCAUUCCUGCAGCUACCCAGGUAAGGGUUUAGCAGGCUAGAGGUGCUGGGAAAGGACAGAGAAAUGCAGGAAAUGACAGACAUUCUCUCCGGGAAGUUCUCCAGAGCAUGCAAUCUGGUUUCUGCACUUGAACUUGGGAGUGUUGAAUUGGUGGGCCAGGCAGUCCUGGUGCUACAAUUUCUAACUCCUCUAAUGUCCUCCAUGUCCAUUCACUCAGUUCGUGUCUGUGUCCACUCAGUGCUCCAGCCCUGCCCUGCCCAUCUCACUGCAGACAUCUUGCCCUCGCAAAUUGCCCAGAUGCAGCCUGCUUUCUUGGGGUGCAUGCACACUGCUAUGGACUGAAUUAUGCCCCCUGCCCAAUUCACGUGUGGAAACUUUAACUCCCAAUGUGACUGUAUUUGGAGAUUGAGCCUUUACGGAGCUAAAUAAAUGAGGUCAUAAGGGUGGGACUCUAAUCCUU
rnacentral:lncRNA from 1 species